AGUGCAAGUGCGGGAAAUAAAUAAAAGUAGUGCGAGUGCGGGAAAAUUAAUAAAAGUAGUGCGAGUACGGAAAAUAAAUAAAGUAGUGCGAGUGCGAGAAAUAAAUAAAGUAAAGACAGUGCGGAAAAUAAAUGAAAGUAAAGACAGUGCGGGAAAAUAAAAUAGAUAAAGGCAAAGCAAUAAAAACCUGCUCCAAUCUAAGGGUUGAAUAAAAUGCGAAAUGGAAAUGAAAAUGGCGGCAGGAUU
rnacentral:lncRNA from 1 species